GGGGGUAUAGCUCAGUGGUAGAGCACCCGCAUACGCAUACGUAAGGUCGGGGGUUCGACUCCCUCUGCCUCCA
rnacentral:tRNA from 1 species